GAUGAAGAACGUAGCGAAAUGCGAUAAGUAAUGUGAAUUGCAGAAUUCAGUGAAUCAUCGAGUCUUUGAACGCUCAUUGCGUCCCCUGGUAUUCCGGGGGGCAUGCCUGUCCGAGCGUCAUUGCUGCCCUCAAGCACGGCUUGUGUGUUGGGCCUCCGUCCUCCUCCCGGGGGACGGGCCCGAAAGGCAGCGGCGGCACCGCGUCCGGUCCUCGAGCGUAUGGGGCUUCGUCACCCGCUCUUGUAGGCCCGGCCGGCGCUUGCCGACACAUCAAUCUUUUUUCCAGGUUGACCUCGGAUCAGGUAGGGAUACCCGCUGAACUUAAGCAUAUCAAUAAGCGGAGGA
rnacentral:misc_RNA from 1 species